UGCAGCUGUUGAAAUAUUUACUGUACCUUUCUAUUGCUUGUGCUGGUUCCACAGCUAAGACGAGGAACACCAGUAGACAGAUGGGAGACCCCAUGUUCCCUGUUUGGAGGGCUGUGCACAGAAUGAAUCCCCUCUGUUGUCCUGCAAAUCUUUUAUACUUCUCUUGGUGUCAGUAAGAGCCAGGAGUAUGAUGUCCAUCCACAACUCCUGGACAUGGAUACGGAAAACACAAGAAUUGCGUUUGGACAAUCAGCUCCAGACUCCUAAGAGGCAGCUGCAGGAGCGGCCUAUUGAACACUGAACACUUCCAUUUAAAAAUUGAUCACCAUAUCAAAAGGACUCAGAUAAUCAUCAUAUCAGAGCUUCUACUCCCCAAAACAUGAAAUCCAUGAAAUCUUCUUUGAGGUUCAGGCUAGCUCAGGAGGGAGUGACCACUGUGUUUCCAUGGAGAGCAGGACACAAAAGGGUGUGGCGUGGGAACAUCUCCAAGGGUCAGGAGUGAAGGUCAGGAGGUCAAGGGUCACAACCAGCUGGACAGCACACAAGAGGAGAGGAGGGUGAGAAAAGGGGGAAGAGGGCCAACCCAGAGGCCGACACUGGACCCAAAGGGACAUUAACAUUGAACUGAUGGGAGGCCCAUACUGACCACGGCCUUUUCAUGGAGAACCUAGGCUAAGACACACUCGUGGGUAAUGGUCCGUGAUAAUUGACAAGUGACAAGCUUAUUUUCAAUGCAGAUGCAAAUGCAGCAGUCAAAAUGCAGCGGCAGAUCACAAGGAUGAAAAAACAUUUUCACAUUUUAUUCUGCAUGUCUCUUUCUGUUAUGAAUACAGUUAUUCAGCCCUACCCAUAGUGUUACAUUUUUAUCUUUCUUUCUUUCUUUCAAACUCCAAAACCUCCAAAAAUACACUUAAAUGUAAUUUAUUGUUUGGCCCAUCUGACUCAAUCGAAACCAUAGCCAGUAAUCUGGAGGGGGGGGGGGGGGGAUCUUUCCACAAAUGUGCAUAAUCAGGCCAAACAAUCUUUAAUUCUUCCUAUUAUUGGAUGGAAAAAUACAUUUUGUUGUUAAAGGUAACUUGUUCCAGCUCAGGACAAUUGCCAAAUGAAAACCCAUCCUCUCUUUCAAAGAUUUAGAGGUUCUUAUAAACACUUAAAUCUCUUCCCGCCUUGACCACAGCAACUCCUUGUGUAUGGGAGUCUUUCGGUCUCGCCUCCAGCUGGUCAGAAUGCAGCUGCUAGGUUCUUCACUGGCUCCAGUAAGAGGGACCACAUUUCCCUCACUCUGGCCUCUCUUCACGGCUUCAAAUUAGAUCUACAUUUUUUUUAAUCCUUUGCGUUUAGAGCAAUACAUGGAUUAGCACCACUUUAUAUUUCUGACCUUUGCAGUCUCCACAACACAUUGAGGUCUCUCAGAUCCUCAAACCAGAUUAUUUUUAGACACCACAAUCUAGUAAGGAAGAGGGUGA